GAGCUCACUUCAGUAGCGCAUACACUAAAAAUGGAAUUAUAGAGAUGAUUAGCAUGGCUCUACCAAAGCAUGACACAUGGCUUCAAGAAGUAUCCCAUAUUAAA
ensembl:snRNA U6 U6 spliceosomal RNA